UAGGGAAUCUUCGGCAAUGGACGAAAGGCUGACCGAGCAACGCCGCGUGAGUGAAGAAGGUUUUCGGAUCGUAAAACUCUGUUGUUAGAGAAGAACAAGGACGUUAGUAAUUGAACGUCCCCUGACGGUAUCUAACCAGAAAGCCACUGCUAACUACGUGCCAGCAGCCGCGGUAAUACGUAGGUGGCAAGCGUUGUCCGGAUUUAUUGGGCGUAAAGCGAGCGCAGGCGGUUUCUUAAGUCUGAUGUGAAAGCCCCCGGCUCAACCGGAGAGGGGCAUUGGAAACUGGGAGGCUUGAGUGCAGAAGAGGAGGGUGGAAUUCCAUGUGUAGCGGUGAAAUGCGUAGAUAUAUGGAGGAACACCAGUGGCGAAGGCGGCUCUCUGGUCUGUAACUGACGCUGAGGCUCGAAAGCGUGGGGAGCAAACAGG
rnacentral:rRNA from 1 species